rnacentral:tRNA from 2 species
AGGCACACGGAGAAGCCCUGGCAAAGCGGCGGAGGACCCGGGUUCGAUUCCCGGCAGCUCCA